UACCCAGCAUUCCCUAAAACUGGUCAUGUGCCCUUACCUUUUGGUUAAGAUAAGUAUGUGUAUUAAUGAAAAUUUUUGAACCCCAUAGCGUAUCAUCUGGUCUAUAUUUUCUUUUUAUGGAUACCAAAAUUCUUUACACCCACACACUCACUCACUUACCCACCAUAUAGGCAUUUGGAUUAUUUCUAAUAGUUGGUGGAAGAGGUCAUCGUAAACUUGAAGAUAAACUAAGUUGCUAUAUACUUUGGGUACGAAAUGAAGCUGAGGACAAUUUCCUGUGAAAGGACAAACAUAAAGAACUGCCCUGUUAUCACUGCUAUUUGCACUCAUCCUUAGGAGAGGAGGCUUGUGCUGAAUUCCAGGGGCAAGGCCUUAGGUGCUGUCAUUUCAAGAUAUCUGCUGGGACAUAAGCUUCGUAAGAUAGAAGGGUAACCUUGCAAGCUAUGUGGCCGGUACCACUCAAAUCACAGGUUAUCCCUCACGUGAAUUUGUGGGAUUUACUUUUUACUAAUGGAAGUCGGCAAGGAGACUCUGAAGGGGAUGCCAGAUUCUCAAAUAAGAAGAUGGCAGUCAGUCUCACAUCAUCCUGCUCCUGUGGCGACAGAUGCAUGUGGUGGGUGAUUAGAGGAGGCUGGGAGCCAAGAGAAUCAUCAUGCCUGGAUUAACAACAACCCCAGGGAACCUAACAAACAGAAGAUACUACAUUGAGUGGGAGCCAAGCAAGUGGUUUUGAGGACAAGAAGAGAAUUAAAAGGAAAGUUGAUACGUUGGAAAAAGUAGCUGAAAACAAGCAGAAAGCUGCUCUCAAAGGCCGGGUUUGGGCUAGCAAGUAAAUAAAGGACACUGAAAAAUA